rnacentral:misc_RNA from 1 species
CGGAGAUUCUUCUUUGUCAGCCAAUCAUAUCUGCAAACACGAGCACAUUGGACUUAUAACCACUCCAAAUACCAACUUAAGUUUCCCAGCUUGUAUGAAACAUAACAAAGCAAAAUAAAUUCAGAUGUAUGAUGAUGAAACAUGCAAAUCAUUGGAUUCAUGGACCAAGCAUUCUAGCCUGUCCCAUAUCUCAUUUGGUCCAAAGUAUUACAUGCUGCAGUCAUGAAUCUCAUUACCUUACAAAUUUAUUACAUGCUGCAGCCAUGAUCUCAUUACCUUACAAAUUUACUUUGCUG